rnacentral:snRNA from 1 species
GUGCUCACUUCAGCAGCACAUAUACUAGAAUUGGAACGAUGCAGAGAAGAUUAGCGUGCCCCUGCGCAAGGAUGACUCGCAAAUUCGUAGCGUUCCAUAUUUUU